AUUUCUGAAAAUUUUUCUCAUCUUGCUUCUUCUUUUUGUUUCUUUGUGGGAAUGGAAGCUUAAUGAUGGGUUUUGGUUCAGGUAGCUUUUCUUGCACCACCGGCAGUGUCACACUUUCUUCCUCAGUUGGUGUCUUGUUUUCUAAGAUUUCCAGGUCCACUUCAAGCAAUUGAUCUUCUUCUUCAUCCUUCUUCUUAAGAUCUUCAACAGAUUUCC
rnacentral:lncRNA from 1 species